UGUGCAGCUUCCUAGCCGCCGACUGUGCAGCAGCAAGCCAGCGAGCGGCCGUCCUCAGCUCAGCGCCGAUCAUGUGCCAGCGCUUGUGUAAGGCUCAGGAAAUGAGCCUCGUCCCACCGCUGCCGCUUCCCUCAUCUUGACUGCGGCGUCGCGCGCGUUAAGUCGCUUUGUCUCCGCCGGCUUGAGCAGGUUUCAAAGCGGUCGCUUGCCUGCAAGCCGGCUCCUUCUCCACCAUCUCUCAUGGAGGCCCGGAUGGAGGAGGCUCGGGACUCUUUCCCCCUGCCCACUCUCACGCCGGCCGUGCCCCCCUACGUGACCCUGGGUUUGACGGUGGUCUACAGCGCCUUCUACUCGCUGCUCUUCAUUUUCAUCUACGUCCAGCUCUGGUUGGUGCUGCGCUACCGGCAUAAGCGCUUCAGCUACCAGACCGUGUUCCUGUUCCUGUGCCUGCUGUGGUCGGCCCUGCGCACGGUGCUCUUCUCAUUCUACUUCAAGAACUUUGUGACGGCCAACACUUUGGGGCCUUUUGCGUUCUGGCUGCUCUACUGCUUCCCUGUGUGCCUGCAGUUCUUCACCCUCAGCCUCAUGAACCUCUACUUUGCACAGGUCGUGUUCAAGGCCAAGUCCAAAUAUGCACCGGAGCUCCUGAGAUACAGGCUGCCGCUCUACCUUGUCUUCCUUUUCAUGAGCGUGCUGUUUUUAGCCGUCAACCUAGCAUGCGCCAUGCUAGUGAGGAUGUCGUCUGCGGACGCCCGCACUGUGGUGCUGGUGAGAGUGGCCAUCAACGACACCCUCUUCGUCCUGAGUGCCGUUUCGCUUUCGCUGUGUCUCUACAAGAUGGCCAAAAUGUCCCUGGCUAAUAUUUAUCUGGAAUCCAAGGGAACGUCAGUGUGCCAGGUGAGCGCUAUAGGAGCCAUCGUCAUACUCCUGUACACAUCUAGGGCUUGCUACAACUUGGUCGUCUUGGGACUCUCGAACAGUAGCAUCAAUUCCUUUGACUACGACUGGUAUAACGUUUCUGACCAGGCAGAUUUACAGUCCACUCUGGGCGACACAGGUUACAUCGUCUUUGGAGUGAUUUUGUUCGUAUGGGAGCUGCUCCCUACCUCUCUCGUCGUUUUUUUCUUCAGAGUCCGCCAGCCCAACCUGGACAGGACCAGCUCGGGCCUUCCGGGUCACGUCUUCUCCUCUAGGGCUUACUUCUUCGACAACCCUCGACGUUACGACAGUGACGAUGACCUAGCUUGGAGUGUGAUGCCUCAGAACAUCCAAGCCAGGAGUGCUGUCAGCAUUGCUGCAGAUAGAGGAGGUGGGGGGUCAGCCUGUUAGUGCUCAGACCAUACACCGCACUCUACAUCAAACUGGUGUGCAUGGCUGUCACCCCAGGAGGAAGCCUCUUCUGAAGACGGUACACAAGAAAGCCCGCAAACAGUUUGCUGAAGACAUGUCAACAAGGCACAUGGAUUACUGGAACCAUAUCCUAUGGUCUGAUGAGACGGGCGGGCACACAGACUACCGUUUGGCUGCAGACAGUUACGAUUGGGGGAGCCAGAGCAACAGCAUCAGUGCGUACGUCGGAGGGGACGACAUUUACCACCUGCCACCUCCUCCGGAGGAGCUCAGCCAUUACUGAGAAGAGGCCACAAUGACUUUUUUUUAAUUCCAAAUGUUUUUGCACUUUUAUUACCCUUUUGAAGCACACUGGACUCGAUACAUUCACAAUGGUUCCGGAAAGGAAUUCCGAAACAUGCCAGUAUUUGAAGGACUACUGACGGGAAGAUGAUUUGCACAAUUUAUGUACAUUGAGGGCCCAACUGUACUGCUCAUUUGUUACGUAUAUAUUGAUAUCUGACCCUUUUCUUGAGCUAUUGUUUGUACACUGUGUCAUUAUGGAUGUGUUUUCAUACAUAAUUGUUAAUAUACAAUAGAUUACAUAUUAGCCAGAUAUUGUAGUAAAUUUUUUUUUUUUUUAAACCACACUUAAUUUUUGUGCGAAAUGGACUAAUGCGUAUAUUUUCUGUGCAUGCAAUUAUACAGGUGCAUCCCAAUACAUUGAGUACCACAUGAGUUAUUUUUUCAUUUAGUUAUAAAAUUGAAGAUUUUAAAAAUGAAAUAAGUAUUUAAAAACAAAUAUUUUAAAUUCAUAAAUUUUCAUGAAUUCCUGCUCUUAAAUUACAUGCCAACAUACCUGAACCAGUAGCUACUAAUAGAGUCCAUUGCUUUACCUAGUUUGUUCAAGUCAUAACUGGCCACGGGUAAAAAAAUAAAAAUAAAAAAAGACUGGUGAGCACAUGAUACAUGCAUAUACAUAUUGAGAAAAAUAGUUGCAUUGGGUGUAAAAUAUGCUAUGGCAGAGAAUACUGUUGAUUGCAUACACAAUUUUAAGUGAGAUUGUUUUCUAGGCUGGGGUUGGGACGCCACCCCAGGUAGUAAAACCUUAUAUUGACCACCACAAAGGUGAUUUAAAAAAAUUAAAUUAAAAUAAAAAUAAUAAAAAAUAAAAAAAAAGGGGGGGGGGGUUCCUUCCACCACAUUCCCAUGUACGGAGAUGCACCUGUACACACAUGCGCCACACUUUCAUAGUGUAACAAUAUACAGUUAAAAAAAUAUUCAAUGCUGUGUUUUGAUUAGCAUUGUGAGAGGUAUUAAUUUGACAUUAUUUUAGUUUGCACUGAUGUAAACGGAUCUCACCAAGCUGUCUCUUUUUUCAGCUUAACUUUUGGAAACACUUCAGUGUAAUCACAGUGGUUCCGCACCACUGCUACAAUCCAGUACAUCAAGUUUACGAUAGCUCACCAUGUUUUGAUAGAGUGUAGUGACCUGGGCGGAUCAAAAAGAGCAAUGGGUCAUAUUUGCUUUGUAAAUCCACUCAUUUUAAUGAAACUAUUAAUCAUUAGGCUGACGACCAAAAUAUAUAGAUAUGUAUACAAAUUGUACCUGCAAAUUUGUGUUAAACACGGAAAACAAUAAAAUACUAUCUGGUUAUUUAUUGAAGACAUUUUCUGACUGCUGAUUUGUCAUCAAAUUAAGGCAACACUAAAACAAAUUGUCUCAGUAUUAGGUUCCUUUCGUUAUACAAAAGGGGGUCCCUACUCAAUAUACAAUACAGCAGCAGUAAUAUAGUCAUUUGCCUAAUUUGUGACAUUGUUAGUAAUUUAAUUUCCAUUACAUGGAGCUGAAUGAGUUAAGGUCCAUUGGGAGAAGUACUGUAUAUCAAAAUAGUGCUACACCAUUAACAUCCCCAAGGGGGCAGCAUCAGCUAAACGCGCUGGUAGUGAGAGUGACUCCAAUCAGUGGGUGUGUGAAUUCAAAUUGGACAAGAAAUUCAAACUAAGAAUUGCGGUUCUGUCAGAACAAAUGUGUUUUUAAUCCAUCUCAUCCUUCCUCGUUUCAAACUCAAACACAUUUUCCAAACCGUCGCACAAAAAAAAAAAAUUCCACGUGAAAAGCAUAACGCAUUGAGGUUGUGCAGAACGCUGUACCUUUAGGGAAUUCACCAAGAGAUGAAAAUGUUUCCUGUGAGUUGUGUGAAAACUGUCAAUUGAGGCGUCAAUGUUCACCUUUGAAAACACGGUGCACUGGAAAAGCCAAGUAAAAAAACACACCAUCCCUUUCAGAACAAUAUCAAUGACAUUCAAGAACUGUUGAGUUGUCAAGGUUGCCUGAAUAGAACACACUUGACUGCAUAUGCUUGUUUUUCUUCCGAAAAACAUCCACGAGCCACUUUUCCCUGCUUCAUGUAAAACACGCACAUGCUCUUUUAGGGCAACAUUUUGGGGACAGAGCACUUAUUGGCUGCCUGGUGCGGACGCCGGCUUCGCACUAGCUGGGAUCAGAUGGCUUGCCGAGUUCAACCUUUACUCCUUUUUCUCCUGCACCUGGACACACACACACAGCAAAAAAGCAACAUGCUUAAACCAAGUGUUCCCACAGUCCAUGUGGAUAAAUCAACGAAGUCUUUAGACGAACACGCAGAAGACAAACAGGUCUUUAGCGCGUGUCCGAUCCUACCUGUUGAGUACUUUUCUUUCGCUCUAGCUCGUUCAUCUGCAUCAAAAUACCACACGGUGAUGGCAUACCUGCAGAGACAGAAUUAAAGCGCUGACUCACGCUCCAAGUGAUGCUGUGUACGUGCAAUAACCCACACACUUAGUCCACGUGGCCCAACUCCAGUUAACUUGGGAGAUUUUGCACGAUUCUCAAGAUACAACUUGGCAAGAUUGUUGCGGAGCUUGCGGGCAAAGCGUUGCAACACCUGCUCACUGGGUUUCACGAC